UAGUUGCGACUUUAAACGAUGCCAACUGGCGGUUCGGCGAAGUCUCUCUGACGACUCGCUGAGCAGCCCCCGGGAAACCAAAGUCUUUCGGUUCCGGGGGAAGUACGGUUGCAAAGCUGAAACUUAAAGGAAUUGACGGAAGGGCACCACCAGGAGUGGAGCAUGCGGCUUAAUUUGACUCAACGCGGGAAAGUUCACCCGUCCCGGACACUGUCAGGAUUGACAGAUCAAGAGCUCUUUCUUGAUUCAGUGGAUAGUGGUGCAUGGCCGUUCUUAGUUGGUGGAGCGAUUUGUCUGGCCAAUCCCGAUAACGAACGAGACUCUGGCCUACUAACUAGUGACGGCGUGGUCUUUUCGCCGAGCACUUCUUAGAGGGACCAGCGGCGGUACAAAGCCGCACGAGAAAGAGCAAUAACAGGUCUGUGAUGCCCUUAGAUGGGCGGGGCUGCACGCGUGCUACACUGAUGGCAUCAACGUGCGUCCAAGCCUGACCUGUGAAGGUCAGGAAAUCGAUUGAAAUGUCCGUCGUGACUGGGAUAGGGAAUUGCAAUUAUUUCCCUUGAACGCGGAAUUCCCAGUAAGCGUGAGUCAUUAGCUUGCGUUGACUACGUCCCUGCCCUUUGUACACACCGCCCGUCGCUACUACCGAUUGGAUGAUUUAGUGAGGCCUCUGGACUGACGUUGUUAUUGUCCUGCGACUUUGUUUUGCGGGGCUGUAACGUUGGAAAAUUGGCCGAACCAAUUCAUCUAGAGGAAGUAAAAGUCGUAACAAGGUUUCCGUAGGUGAACCUGCGGAAGGAUCAUUA
rnacentral:rRNA from 1 species